UACGGAGGGUGCGAGCGUUGUCCGGAAUCACUGGGCGUAAAGGGCGCGUAGGCGGCCUGAUAAGUAGGGGGUGAAAUCCUGCGGCUUAACCGCAGGGCUGCCUUCUAAACUGUCAGGCUCGAGCACAGUAGAGGCAGGUGGAAUUCCCGGUGUAGCGGUGGAAUGCGUAGAGAUCGGGAGGAACACCUGAGGCGAAGGCGGGCUACUGGGCCGAUACUGACGCUGAUGCGCGAAAGCCAGGGGAGCGAACGGG
rnacentral:rRNA from 1 species